UCUCUGUUCCAGUAUCUGCUGAAGCUGGUGGACGAAAGGUUCUGGGGACCUUCGGUGCUGUUUGUGGACAACACAGAUUAUGUCCCUGAAAACAUAGCCCUGAUCUGCGACGAAGUGAAGCACUUCAACAUAAUGCCCGUUUAUGGACUCAACGUACACAGCAUGUUGAAGCACGACACACUCGUUCUGACUCUCUCUGCUGUCGAGGAAAUCGAGAACAAGCUCCUCUACCAGCUUCAUAGAAUUGACGGCAAAGAGGUCGCGCAGCGAGACUACAGAAGGCCCUACCUGUAAAUCGUCCCCCAUCCGCUAACAGUUUUCAUUAUAGUCGCUGAGCAAACGAACCCAGACAUUUGUACGAAUAAACGUACGUGUUUCACACU